rnacentral:rRNA from 1 species
GACGAACGCUGGCGGCGUGCUUAACACAUGCAAGUCGAACGGAAAGGCCCUGCUUUUGUGGGGUGCUCGAGUGGCGAACGGGUGAGUAACACGUGAGUAACCUGCCCUUGACUUUGGGAUAACUUCAGGAAACUGGGGCUAAUACCGGAUAGGAGCUCCUGCUGCAUGGUGGGGGUUGGAAAGUUUCGGCGGUUGGGGAUGGACUCGCGGCUUAUCAGCUUGUUAGUGGGGUAGUGGCUUACCAAGGCUUUGACGGGUAGCCGGCCUGAGAGGGUGACCGGCCACAUUGGGACUGAGAUACGGCCCAGACUCCUACGGGAGGCAGCAGUGGGGAAUAUUGCACAAUGGGCGGAAGCCUGAUGCGGCAACGCCGCGUGCGGGAUGACGGCCUUCGGGUUGUAAACCGCUUUCGCCUGUGACGAAGCGUGAGUGACGGUAAUGGGUAAAGAAGCACCGGCUAACUACGUG